GAUGAACGCUGACAGAAUGCUUAACACAUGCAAGUCAACUUGAAUUUGGGUUUUUAACUUAGGUUUGGGUGGCGGACGGGUGAGUAACGCGUAAAGAACUUGCCUCACAGCUAGGGACAACAUUUGAAAACGAAUGCUAAUACCUAAUAUUAUGAUAAUAGGGCAUCCUAUAAUUAUGAAAGCUAUAAGCGCUGUGAGAGAGCUUUGCGUCCCAUUAGCUAGUUGGAGAGGUAACGGCUCACCAAGGCGAUGAUGGGUAGCCGGCCUGAGAGGGUGAUCGGCCACAAGGGGACGGAGACACGGCCAGUACUCAUACGGGAGGCAGCAGUGGGGAAUAUUGGACAAUGGACCAAGAGUCUGAUCCAGCAAUUCUGUGUGCACGAUGAAGUUUUUCGGAAUGUAAAGUGCUUUCAGUUGGGAAGAAAGAAAUGACGGUACCAACAGAAGAAGUGACGGCUAAAUACGUG
rnacentral:rRNA from 1 species